GGGGCGGGAAUGUGUUCUCCACCCCUGGAACAGCCUGGCCUGAAGGGGACAAUGGGGACACUGGAGCUCCUCUGCUGAGACCUCUCUCCUCAGCUAAGGACGACCUGAACGCUCUGAGCCUCCCCUGCUCAGGCAUCCUUGGGUCUCACUGGUUGAGAAAGAAGAAAGAGAUUUGAGACCCAGAGAAACACAGAGAGGGCCACGUGGAGACAGAGGCAGAGAUUGGAGUGAUGCAGCUGCAAGCCAAGGGACGCCGGCAGCCAUCAGGAGCAUCAAGAAGUCUUCUGUUUGGGACUUCCCUGGUGGUCCAGUGGUUAAGAAUCCGUCUUGCAGCGCAAGAGAUGCCGGUUCGAUCCCUGGUUAGGGAACUAGGAUCCCACAUGCCGCGGGGCAACUAAGCCCAAGUGCCACAACUAGUGAGCCUGCACACCUCAACUAGAGAGAAGCCCACGCGCCACAACGAAAGAUCCCGUGUGCCGCAACUAAGACCCAACGCAGCCAAUAAAUAAAUAACCUCUGAGCUUUCGUGCGUGCUGUUCCCUCUGCCUGGAAGACGCCUUGGUUGACUCCUACUCAUCAGCGGGUCCCAGCUGUAACUUCCUCCAGGAAGCCCUCCCUGCCGUUCUCCAGGAACUCUAUGGGAAUCUGUACCUAUCCCCUGACCAGCUCAGGUGUGGGAACAUCGGAGCAGGAUUGGAGGAGAAU